AGUGAACGCUGGCGGCGUGCCUAAUACAUGCAAGUCGAACGAAGUGGCGCACGGGGGAGUAAUAUAUAGUUAAUCUUCCCUACACGGAGGAACAACAGUUGGAAACGACUGCUAAUACCUCAUAGUGUAGGAUGAGACUAUAUCGUAUCAGCUAGUUGGUAAGGUAAUGGCUUACCAAGGCUAUGACGCGUAACUGGUCUGAGAGGAUGAGCAGUCACAUUGGAACUGAGGCACGGUCCAAACUCCUACGGGAGGCAGCAGUAAGGAAUAGUGCGCAAUCGGGGAAACCCUGACGCACCAACGCCGCGUGGAGGAUGACACGUUUCGGAGCGUAAACUCCUGUUAACAGGAAAACGUUACUUGAAGAAUAAGCACCGGCUAACUCCGUGCCAGCCGCCGCGGUAAUUC
rnacentral:rRNA from 1 species